rnacentral:rRNA from 1 species
GACGAACGCUGGCGGCGUGCUUAACACAUGCAAGUGGAGCGACGAACCAGGCUUCGGCCUGGGGCAGAGCCGCGAACGGGUGAGUAACACGUGGGUAACCUACCCCGAAGACCGGGACAA